rnacentral:lncRNA from 1 species
AUCAUGCUUGUUGUGGAAUUUCAUGUUUCUUCAGAUGAGGGAUAACUUCUAACCUUUGAACCUCUUGAAAUUUGAAACCUGGAAAGCAGCAUCUCAAAUCAUGAACUUGAAACAAACCCGAGACAUUCUUAUGGAGCACCUGGAUGGGAAGGGAAGGAAACAAGAGAGACUGAAAGCCUCACUUAAUUGAAUUGCAAAGUUAAAUGUCCAUGACACAGGAACAGAGCAGCUUUAAGAUUGGAGAAGGAAUGCAAAAUUCAAAUUCUCACAGCUUCUUACUGAA